CGGUGCGCUACCAUGCAGUCGAGCGGUAGAAUUUCUAGCUUGCUAGAAAUUUGAGAGCGGCGAACGGGUGAGUAACACGUUGGUAUCUGCCCCCAAGUCAGGGAUAGCCAUUGGAAACGAUGAUUAAUACCGGAUAGUCCCUUCGGAGUAAAAAUUUAUUGCUUGGGGAGGAGCCUGCGGUCUAUCAGCUAGUUGGUGAGGUAAUAGCUCACCAAGGCUAUGACGGAUAUCUGGUCUGAGAGGAUGAUCAGACACAAUGGAACUGAGACACGGUCCAUACUCCUACGGGAGGCAGCAGUGAGGAAUCUUCCACAAUGGACGAAAGUCUGAUGGAGCGACACCGCGUGAAGGAUGAAGGCCUAACGGUUGUAAACUUCUUUUCUGAAGGAGCAUAAUGAGAGUACUUCAGGAAUAAGGGACGGCUAAAUACGUGCCAGCAGCCGCGGUAAUACGUAUGUCUCGAGCGUUACCCGGAAUCACUGGGUGUAAAGGGUUCGUAGGCGGCUUGAUAAGUUGGAUAUGAAAGACCGGAGCUCAACUCCGCGUUUGUAUUCAAAACUGUUAAGCUAGAAUUAGGGAGAGGUAAGUGGAAUUCUGAGUGUAGGGGUGCAAUCCGUAGAUACUCAGAGGAACACCAAAAGCGAAGGCAACUUACUGGAACUAUAUUGACGCUGAGGAACGAAAGCGUGGGUAGCGAAAAGGAUUAGAUACCCUUGUAGUCCACGCCCUAAACGAUGAUAAUUAAGUGUUGCGACUAGCUCGCAGUGCUGUAGCUAACGCGUUAAAUUAUCCACCUGAGGAGUACGGUCGCAAGAUUAAAACUCAAAGGAAUAGACGGGGACCCACACAAGCAGUGGAUCACGUGGU
rnacentral:rRNA from 1 species